rnacentral:tRNA from 1 species
GCGGUUGUGGCUCGGCAGGUCAGAGCGUCGGCUUGCCAAGUCGAAGGUCACCGCUUCGAAGCCGGUCAGCCGCUCCA